UACGUAGGGUGCAAGCGUUGUCCGGAAUUAUUGGGCGUAAAGAGCUCGUAGGCGGUCUGUCGCGUCUGCUGUGAAAACUCAGGGCUUAACCCUGAGCUUGCAGUGGGUACGGGCAGACUAGAGUACGGUAGGGGAGACUGGAAUUCCUGGUGUAGCGGUGAAAUGCGCAGAUAUCAGGAGGAACACCGGUGGCGAAGGCGGGUCUCUGGGCCGUAACUGACGCUGAGGCGCGAAAGCUAGGGGAGCAAACAGG
rnacentral:rRNA from 1 species